rnacentral:RNase_P_RNA from 1 species
UCGCGGGGGCGAAGGCCCCUGAGGAAAGUCCGGGCACCGCAGGGCAGGGUGCCAGCUAACGGCUGGGCGCGUAAGGCGACGGCAUGUGCAACAGAAAGCAGACCGCCUCCGCUGGGAGGUAAGGGUGAAACGGUGCGGUAAGAGCGCACCAGUGCCCAAGGAAACUUGGGUAGCUAGGUAAACCCCACCCGGUGCAAGGUCCGAUGCGGAGAGAGGGCUUGCCCGGCCCGCCAUCAUCUCCAGGUUGACCGCUAGAGCGUCACGGCGACGUGGCGUCGAGAUAGAUGAUCGAACCCGCCACCUUUGGCGGCGACAGAACCCGGCUUAACGGAUUAC